CACUUCCGCAUGCCACCCUUCGGCGGUUUCUCCUCGCUUGUUGCCCUCUGCUUUGUUGAGGUCUCCUCGUUUUUUUUUUUUCGCGGAGGGGGUCUGUGAGCCUUUUGCGUGGCGCAUAAGCCAGUGGAAGUGAGCAUCUGCGGCGAGGGGCUCUUCAGCUCUCUGCGCUAUGCAUACAACUGAGAAACGGCCAAAAAAGAAAACAUCCACACGCAGGGAUAAGCACACAUCAGCAUAGUCUGUAAACUCUCUGCACGCGAUAGAGUCCAUCGCUUUUACUCUCAUAGAAGCGCACGCCUGGCGCCGUUAGUGGUGCACGAAUCGCAUCCGCGCGGCAGUAUCGUCACUUUAAACCAGCGAAUCUCUCUGGGUGCAUCACAUCUUCGAGCUUUUGGCUUGAGGCUCUAGCGCCCCCCCUUUUCCGUUGCUUGUCCUUCCUGCAGACCCUUGCGAUGUACGCCGGCAGACAAGGCGAAGAGGCCAAGGCGGCUGCCAGCCAUCUGCCAUGGGUAGAGAAAUACCGCCCCAGCACGCUGGAGAGCGUUGUUGCGCACGAGGACAUUCUCAGCACGCUGCGGCACCUCAUGGACAGCGGUAACAUGCCUCACCUGCUGCUCUACGGUCCGCCUGGUACCGGGAAAACGACCACCAUUAAGGCAUGCGCGUACUACCUCUAUGGUAAGGAUCGAGUGCGCGCGAACGUGCUCGAGAUGAAUGCGUCCGAUGACCGUGGCAUCGACGUGGUGCGCCAGCAGACUCGCGAGUUCGCUAGCACCUCCUCCAUAUUUUCGAUGAUGGGCUCCGGCAGCUCGACUGGCGGUGGAAGCGGCGGCCCGGCGGCAAAGUUCAAACUUGUGAUCCUCGACGAGGCAGAUCAGAUGUCCCACGAUGCCCAGGCGGCGCUGCGUCGCGUUAUCGAGAAGUACACGCGCAACGUGCGCUUCUGCAUUCUGUGCAACCACAUCAACAAAAUCAUACCCGCCCUGCAGUCUCGGUGCACUCGAUUCCGCUUCGCGCCGGUGAAGAAAUCGGCGAUGAUGCCGCGCCUCCGGUUCGUGGCGGAGCAGGAGGGUGUCAAAUAUACGACCGACGGGCUGGCGGCCGCGUUCCGCCUCAGCCACGGUGAUUUGCGCCGGUGCCUCAACACCAUGCAGGCUUCGGCGCUCUCUGCAAAUGAGGUUACAGAGGAGUCCGUUUAUCGAGUCACCGGGAACCCGACCCCUGCCGACGUGACGGCGAUCGUGUCGGAUAUGCUCUCCAGCGACUUCGCGACAAGCUGGAUCAAGGUGGAGGAAAGCGUUGUGCAGAAGGGCAUCUCCAUAGCGGAUCUGACUCGCGAGAUCCACCCUGUCAUGAUGGCGAUGGACUUACCGCAGGACUGCAAGUGCUUUCUGCUCAUGAAGCUAUCCGACCUUGAGUACUACGCGGCAGGCGGAGCGCGCGAGUCAGCCGGGCUUGGUGGGCUGCUAGGGGCCUUUCAGCUCGUCAAAGAGGCCGUGACGCAGCGCAAGCCAAUCAAGGAUGUGGCUGGAGAGUGCGCUUGCUGACGGGCUGCCCGGGAAACUUCAUACUUGGCGCGUGCGCCCGGCUCUGAGUUUUUGCAGCAAGCAAGCCGAUAAAGUGUUGUAUAGAAGCUGAUGGAGAAGCGAGAGUCUCUCGCUGCACAUACAAUGAAAAGCUUUAACG
rnacentral:misc_RNA from 1 species